CAGCCGCCGCGGUAAGACGUAAGUUGCAAGCGUUAUCCGGAAUUACUGGGCAUAAAGGGCAUCUAGGCGGCGAUGUAAGUCAGGAGUGAAAAUUCAGGGCUCAACCCUGUCCUUGCUUUUGAAACUGCAUUGCUAGAGUUCGGGAGAGGAAGGCGGAACUACAAGUGUAGAGGUGAAAUUCGUAGAUAUUUGUAGGAAUGCCAAUGACGAAGGUAGCUUUCUGGACCGUAACUGACGCUGAAGUGCGAAAGCUAGGGUAGCAAACGGGAUUAGAUACCCCGGUAGUCCUAGCUGUAAACGAUGAUUACUGGGUGUGGGGGAGCGAAACCCCUGUGCCGAAGCAAAUGCGAUAAGUAAUCCGCCUGGGGAGUACGACCGCAAGGUUGAAACUCAAAGGAAUUGACGGGGACCCGCACAAGCGGUGGAGCAUGUGGUUUAAUUCGACGCAACGCGAGGAACCUUACCAAGUCUUGACAUCGUAAGAAUCUGGGAGAGAUUUCGGAGUGCCCUUCGGGGAACUUAUAGACAGGAGGUGCAUGGCC
rnacentral:rRNA from 1 species